rnacentral:rRNA from 1 species
CUAACGAGGAUUCCCCUAGUAACUGCGAGUGAACCGGGAAAAGCUCAAAUUUUGAAUCUGGCGGUCUUUGGGCCGUCCGAGUUGUAAUCUAGAGAAGCGUCUUCCGCGUUGGACCGUGUAUAAGUUUCCUGGAAUGGAACGUCGUAGAGGGUGACAAUCCCGUCUUUGACACGGACUCCCAGGGCUAUGUGAUGCGCUCUCGACGAGUCGAGUUGUUUGGGAAUGCAGCUCAAAUAGGGUGGUAAAUUCCAUCUAAAGCUAAAUACAGGCGAGAGACCGAUAGCGAACAAGUACCGUGAGGGAAAGAUGAAAAGAACUUUGGAAAGAGAGUUAAACAGUACGUGAAAUUGCUGAAAGGGAAACGCUUGAUGUCAGUCGCAUCGUCCGGGGAUCAGCCUCGCUUUUUUU